GUAACAGAAAGCAGCUUGCUGCUUUGCUGACGAGUGGCGGACGGGUGAGUAAUGUCUGGGAAACUGCCUGAUGGAGGGGGAUAACUACUGGAAACGGUAGCUAAUACCGCAUAACGUCGCAAGACCAAAGAGGGGGACCUUAGGGCCUCUUGCCAUCGGAUGUGCCCAGAUGGGAUUAGCUAGUAGGUGGGGUAACGGCUCACCUAGGCGACGAUCCCUAGCUGGUCUGAGAGGAUGACCAGCCACACUGGAACUGAGACACGGUCCAGACUCCUACGGGAGGCAGCAGUGGGGAAUAUUGCACAAUGGGCGCAAGCCUGAUGCAGCCAUGCCGCGUGUAUGAAGAAGGCCUUCGGGUUGUAAAGUACUUUCAGCGGGGAGGAAGGGAGUAAAGUUAAUACCUUUGCUCAUUGACGUUACCCGCAGAAGAAGCACCGGCUAACUCCGUGCCAGCAGCCGCGGUAAUACGGAGGGUGCAAGCGUUAAUCGGAAUUACUGGGCGUAAAGCGCACGCAGGCGGUUUGUUAAGUCAGAUGUGAAAUCCCCGGGCUCAACCUGGGAACUGCAUCUGAUACUGGCAAGCUUGAGUCUCGUAAAGGGGGGUAGAAUUCCAGGUGUAGCGGUGAAAUGCGUAGAGAUCUGGAGGAAUACCGGUGGCGAAGGCGGCCCCCUGGACGAAGACU
rnacentral:rRNA from 1 species